AUACGUAGGUGCCAAGCGUUAUCCGGAUUUACUGGGCGUAAAGGGCGUGUAGGCGGUCUUGCAAGUCAGAAGUGAAAUUCCUGAGCUCAACUCGGGCGCUGCUUCUGAAACUGCAGGACUUGAGUGCUGGAGGGGAUAGCGGAAUUCCUAGUGGAGCGGUAAAAUGCGCAGAUAUUAGGAAGAACACCGGUGGCGAAGGCGGCUAUCUGAGCGGUAACUGACGCUGAGGCGCGAAAGCGUGGGGAGAAAACAGGAUUAGAUCCCCUGGUAGUCCACGCCGUAAACGAUGAAUACUAGGUGUAGGGGGUAUCGACUCCCGCUGUGCCGCAGUUAACACAAUAAGUAUUCCGCCUGGGGAGCACGGCCGCAAGGUUGAAACUCAAAGGAAUUGGCGGGG
rnacentral:rRNA from 1 species